rnacentral:rRNA from 1 species
UCCUACGGGAGGCAGCAGUGGGGAAUAUUGCACAAUGGGCGAAAGCCUGAUGCAGCGACGCCGCGUGAGGGAUGAAGGCCUUCGGGUUGUAAACCUCUUUCAGCAGGGAAGAAGUGGCCGGGUUUUCUCGGUUGUGACGGUACCUGCAGAAGAAGCACCGGCUAACUACGUGCCAGCAGCCGCGGUAAUACGUAGGGUGCGAGCGUUGUCCGGAAUUAUUGGGCGUAAAGAGCUUGUAGGCGGUUUGUCGCGUCUGCUGUGAAAUUUCGGGGCUCAACCCCGAACUUGCAGUGGGUACGGGCAGACUAGAGUGUGGUAGGGGAGACUGGAAUUCCUGGUGUAGCGGUGAAAUGCGCAGAUAUCAGGAGGAACACCGAUGGCGAAGGCAGGUCUCUGGGCCACUACUGACGCUGAGAAGCGAAAGCAUGGGGAGCGAACAGGAUUAGAUACCCUGGUAGUCCAUGCCGUAAACGUUGGGAACUAGGUGUGGGUCUCAUUCCACGAGAUCCGUGCCGCAGCUAACGCAUUAAGUUCCCCGCCUGGGGAGUACGGCCGCAAGGCUAAAACUCAAAGGAAUUGACGGGGGCCCGCACAAGCGGCGGAGCAUGCGGAUUAAUUCGAUGCAACGCGAAGAACCUUACCAAGGCUUGACAUGUGCCGGAAAAGUGCAGAGAUGUGCUCCCCGCAAGGUCGGUACACAGGUGGUGCAUGGUUGUCGUCAGCUCGUGUCGUGAGAUGUUGGGUUAAGUCCCGCAACGAGCGCAACCCUCGUUCUAUGUUGCCAGCGGGUUAUGCCGGGGACUCAUAGGAGACUGCCGGGGUCAACUCGGAGGAAGGUGGGGAUGACGUCAAAUCAUCAUGCCCCUUAUGUCUUGGGCUUCACGCAUGCUACAAUGGCCAGUACAAAGGGCUGCGAUACCGCAAGGUGGAGCGAAUCCCAAAAAACUGGUCUCAGUUCGGAUUGGGGUCUGCAACUCGACCCCAUGAAGUCGGAGUCGCUAGUAAUCGCAGAUCAGCAACGCUGCGGUGAAUACGUUCCCGGGCCUUGUACACACCGCCAU